CCUACGGGAGGCAGCAGUGAGGAAUAUUGGUCAAUGGACGAGAGUCUGAACCAGCCAAGUAGCGUGAAGGAUGACUGCCCUAUGGGUUGUAAACUUCUUUUAUAUGGGAAUAAAAUGUUCCACGUGUGGGAUUUUGUAUGUACCAUAUGAAUAAGGAUCGGCUAACUCCGUGCCAGCAGCCGCGGUAAUACGGAGGAUCCGAGCGUUAUCCGGAUUUAUUGGGUUUAAAGGGAGCGUAGGUGGAGUGUUAAGUCAGUUGUGAAAGUUUGCGGCUCAACCGUAAAAUAGCAGUUGAAACUGGCAGUCUUGAGUACAGUAGAGGUGGGCGGAAUUCGUGGUGUAGCGGUGAAAUGCUUAGAUAUCACGAAGAACUCCGAUUGCGAAGGCAGUUCACUGGACUGCAACUGACACUGAGGCUCGAAAGUGUGGGUAUCAAACAGGAUUAGAUACCCCAGUAGUC
rnacentral:rRNA from 1 species